UUUUCAGUGUUUUCACUCUGAAAUUUGUAAUUACGUUUUAAAUAACCUAGUAUCGAGUUCAAGUGUGAGAUAACAUUCUAUUUCAAGUUUCCCAUUGGUUGACAAGAUCACGUGGUCUACUGGCCAACACUAUUUAAACCGCCGCUCUGUCUGCUGCAGUAUCAGAUAUUUCCCCAGCGAAACAUCCGACUCUUAUUAACAUGGGCAAGGAAAGGACCAGCGUCAACAUGGCCGUCGUCGGCUACUACUAGACCCUCUAUCAGCAGAUGGACGGCUAGUACAACACGGACAUGACCCGGCUUCUGUACACGGACACGCUCUGGACACGGACGAUACGAUGCUAGGCUCUCCCGGAUUAUUAUAACUCAACAUGAUUGGCUUUUUAUGAAAUAUAUCAAAAUUUUUCCGUUUAA